CGUGGCAAGUCCAAAAACAAAAGCUCAUCGAUGACACCACUACCAAAUUUGAUUUCAUCCAGUCUAGGAAGUAUUUCAAAAGUGGCCUCAAAUCCUCUUCCAGACUUUGAACCACAAAUAUCACACUGCCAUGCCUCCAUAGCUGCUUGAGGGAAAACUCCAAGUGCAUGAUGCCCAACAUUAUCAUAUAAUGACAAGCACCAUCUUUUCUUUGCACGAGGUGAAUAAUACUCUGCCACAAAUUUCUUCCAAUAGGCAAUAGAAUUCUCAGCUGGCCGUUGCCGUUGAUGAUACAGAUAUUGCAUCAAUCGACGUGCACAUACACCUCCGUCAUGAGGACGCUUCAUGGCAGAUACAGGCUGCAUGGUCUGUUGUUGCAUUUGCUGCCUCAACUGCAUCUGCUGCUGCUGCUGCAAGUGGGCUCUCUGCAAAGGUGGCAUAGAUUGGAAAAGUUGCUGCUGUUGCCUCAGUCUCUGCUGAUGAAGCAAGUUUUGUAAAUGUGGACUUCGGCCCUGCAACUGCAUGGAGUCCUGUCUCUGAAGCAAUUGUUGGAAAACUUGCUGCUGCAGAAUAUCUUCCUGUUUGAUAUCCAAUCUCGGCUUCUUUUGCACUUGGGAUAGAUUAUUAGGAUCCUGUAGGAAGGCACCAGGAGCCCGCGGCGCCAUGGGAAGUGAAGCUUGUGCAGCUUGUGAAGAAGGCAGAGAGGUCGCACUCGAUGCCCCCUGUUGCUGCUGAUGAUUCUGCUGGACUUGCUGUGAGCUUGGGUCUUGAUGAUUGCCCUGCUGCACUACAGAGGACCCAUCAACAAC
rnacentral:misc_RNA from 1 species